GGUGUUCGUGUUUGCUGAAUUAGAUUCAUCCAUUUCUAGCAUUGAUACCAUGUUAAUUUUGGAAAAAUAAAAUUCUGUUAUUGAUGAAUUGAGAGAGAGCCGAAAAUACAUUCGUUCAAUCGUGUUUUAAGUAUACAAUAUAGAUAUAUAACUAUAAAUGAAUUAUUUCCUGACUAAUUUACACAGAAAGCAACUAUGAAAACAGAAUCAAUACAAGUUGUUCAAUAACCAAAAAUCUAACUAAUCUUCUUCUCGACUAUUCUUCUGUUGCUGCCUUGUCAUCAGUCCAUUCUGGUUUGCUUCCUGCUGAUUGUGCAAAUGUUCCAGCUGACUCAUAUCUUCCAGCUUCAAUAGCAAAUGGAGGUGGGAAAGGAUAUGCUAUUCUAUUCUGCAAGCAAUUGGAACAUCGUGUCAGAUAAAUAUUAAAGAUCUCAGUGUAAAAUCUAAUCAAAGGGGAAAGUUCUUCCUUUUUUUCCCCUUACCAUUGAAAUAGGCUAAUUGAAAUAGGCUAAUAUCAUGUAAAUAUUGAUUGAUUCAUGGACACAAACACAAAAAUGUUUUACAAAGAUCAGGUUUCAGCUUUCAUUUUUCUUGUUUAUUGUAAUAUGGUUUUGGUACACAAAAUCAAAUUAGACAUUUUCCAUUAAAAAAAAUAUCCGAUACCUUGCAAAUUUGCAAAAGGGAACACAGAACAAAAAUUCCAAAAUGCAAAUCCUUUUUUAUAUUUUAGAUUCUUACUUGGAUCUCCUCUCUCGUAAGUACAAUUUUCUACAAAAUGUACGAUAAUUAAUCCAAAGAUUAUCCUAAAGAACUAUCUCAAAUAUGAAAGGUUUUCU
rnacentral:lncRNA from 1 species